rnacentral:snRNA from 1 species
AGAUGUGAGGUCAAUCUGGCUGCAACAUCUGUCACCCCAUUGAUCACCAGGGUUGAUUUGGCUGAUCUGGCUAGGUAGGUAGGUGUCCCCUUCCUCCCUCACUACUCCAUGUGCAUCCCUCCCACAGCUGCAUGCUCAGUGGAAGAGGAUGACCACUCCAAUUAAGGAGGACCAAAACAUGUGCAC